UUUUUUUUGUGAUGUGUUGUGGUUAACUGGGGGGAAAAUAAGUAUCUAGGGCAGUUGAUAUAUUUUUGUUGAUUUUUCUUAGGAUGAUAAAUACCUCUCCAAUUAUCUAUCUGGUAACUGUGUGAAUUACAUAUAUUUGUGACCACUGUGCAUCUUGAUUUUGGCAUUAGUUCUAGUGACAUGAUAAUCAUUGCUAAAUAAUUGCAUGAACUGGAUAAGUAGCGAUGUGUGAUAUACUUGUGUGCCAUGUGUGUGUGAGGAGUACUGAGUUUUUUUUGUAUGAUUGAAUCUAGAACUUGCCCAGCUAGUCUUGCCUAGGUUGUAGGAUAGGAGUUAGGAAAGGAUCAUAGGCCGUUUUGAUAUUAGUUUACUUUUAGCCUAAAUGACCUUCCAUCUUUGAGUGAUAUCCCUUGAUCCCGAUUUUGAGCCUAAAUGCCUAUUCUUUUUAUCGGGGUGCAUGAUGAAAAAUGAGUAUGAAGAAAGGUAAAAUAAAAGCAAAGAAAAGAAAAAACUGGGUGCGGUGGAAAAAGAAAAAGAAAAGAAAAGUUACGAAAAAAGAAGAAAUGAUUGUCGAAAAGACCGCACCCAUCUUGAAUGUGCUUUAAUCAAGAAAGGAAAAAAAAGGUUAAGAAGUGAGACCCCAAGAGCUUAGUGUAUUGUCAAGGAGGCGUAGUCACUCUAAAUGUCCUUGAAUAUCAUACCACCCCUAGCGUACAUUACAAGCCAGAAGAAGACCUAUAGUGAUUCUAACUGACCUGUCUGAAAACCUUGGUAAUGAAUAUAAGGGCAAGCCUAUGGCAUUUGGCAUACAUUUAUUGGAAAUUCAUUUUGAGAGUGAGUAUCUUUUGAUUAUCCAUGUACCUACAUGUAUGAUUGCUGAUAUAAGUGAAGAAGGGAUUUCUUUAUUGUGAGGGAACAUUGAGUAUGCUACUAGUUCCUAACUUGUUUGGGUAGUGUAAUAUUGAUACAUGCAUGGUUGCUGUUGCUAAAUUUGUCCAUAUCUUGAUUCCGGUGUGUUACAUGGUUGUUUUCCAAUAAUAGAUACAAUGGCUGUUGAAUUGAUUGACCUUGGAGAAGGAGAUGAUAUUUUGAGAUUAUAUGAGUGAUUAGCUGCCAAUUGUACUUUGUAUCCUUUUAGUUUUGUUUUGGUUACUUGAGGACUAGCAAUUGUUUUAAGUUGAGAGUGUUGAUGUGUAAGCAGAUGCUAACAUAUUUGAGGAUUUUAACUCUAAAUAAUUGCAAGGUCUUAAGCAACUUUUGCCGUUUGUUAUUGUGUUAUCCUUGAUUUUGCAGUAUAAGUCAAGAUGCAAGAGAACCCAAAAUAAUGGAGGUGAAAAAGAUGAAUUCUAAUGCAAAUAGCAGGAAAGUGUGGCUGAUGACAUUUCUAAUGAGUCGUCAGCCCUGUGAUAGGAUAUCAGAGUUGUCAUCAACCUAGAAAGAAAAUAGACUUCAACUUAACUAAGUGACAACAUCGUGUGAUAAGCCAUCAGAAGUGUGAUAAGCCAUCAGGAUUGCCGUCAGGCUUAGGUUGAGAAUUAGAUUUGGAGUGACAAAGUGAUGAUAUUUUUUAUAUGUCGUCAUAUAUCUGAUAAGCUUUCAGGUUUCAUCGUCAGCCUUAAACAGGAAGUGCCAAAACUAAAGAAGGAGCUGAUUUCUGAUAAGUCAUCAGACUCCUGAUAAGGCAUCACAAAUGUCGUCACCUGUCCGAGAAAAAUACUGCACUCUGUGAUUUUGUUUCCAUAAUUAGGUUGAAGUAUUUAAAGCAUAAUUUAGGGUUUUCUUAUAUAAGGAAGGAUUUGCACCUUGAACUAGGAGGGGUGGGGACUUGGUCACUUUUCUCUGUAGUUUUGACUCUUAACUUUGAUUUCAAUUUUUAAUUCUUUGACUGAGUUGUGGGAUAUUACUCUUGGAUUUAUUAGAGAAUCAACUUCUAACUACAUAAUUUGUAAGUUUAAUUGCCUUGAGUUAUGGAUUCAAUUAUUGUUAUCUUUUUCUAUUCCAUGUGGAACUAAAACUCACAACUAGGGUUGUGGGAUCUAUGAUGAUUCCUCCAUUGAUUUAAUAGUUGGAUAGGGUUUGAAUGAUUGUGGGAACAUCUUUAUAAUUUUUUUUUAUUAAUUGUUUUUUGUUGGUUGCAAACAAUAGAUCUCACCUUAUGUUGAUUUGCUCGAACUGAGAAAUAAACGAAAGGUAGCAAAUUAUCAACAAGGAUUUGGUAAGGUUAAUCUCCCAUCUAAUGGUUAAUACUGUAACAAGAUUGACCAACUUGAGAUAAAAUUAGUAUGAAUAGGAGGGUUUCCUAAGUUCGAGAGAAUUAGGAAGCCAAACAUCUAGGUAGGUCGAGAAACCCUUAGAUGAACUGUCGAAAUUGAUAAUUUGGUGUUUUCCACUAGUCAUGAGAACCCAGUACUACGGUUAUUAUUCAAUGGAGGAUUAAUAGUCAUAGUGAUCACAACCCUAGUUUCUCCCUAUCAUUGAUUUGAACCGUUGAAAUAUUAGUUUUGAGUUAUGAAACAAGUUGAACACUUAACCAUUGUCUAAUUAUCCCUAUUUUAUCUUUUCCUGUCAAUUGUCUGAAUUUAGCUUGUUGCUAUAAUUUCAAAUUAGUUUAAUCGCCACUCACAUUGUUCCCUAUGGAUUCGACCCCGACUCCAAAGUUAGGUAAAUAUAUUGACGACGACCUCCUUGCACUAAAUUGACGUGUAAGUUGAGCGUUAUCAAAGGCAUAUGGUAGGGAUUAGGAGUAAAAGGUCGUGAGUUCCUUAUACUUUCAAUACAAUCAACCCUCCCACUAAUGGUGGUCACCUCACCCUUCAAAGUAUCCAUAUCACCUUUCAAAUAAUCCAAAUCUCCACUUAUAACUCCCAAUUUCGAGUUCAUUUUUGCCAUCUCUAGGUUCAUGGCCUCAAGUUGAGCCAUGAUGAUCCCCCCAACAUCAUUACCAAGGGAUUGUGUACUUGAACUCGUGGGUUCCAUGUUCCUUGUACCUAACAAACAAUCAAAAAGCUACAAAACAAACAAAUGCGUUAGUUCUAUAAAACCUCACAACACUCACAGUCGGAUCUCACCUCACACUUGGUCUCACGAGUGUUGAAUAUGCUUUGACCCGUAGUCAAUUUUUUUUAUAUGACUCAAAUAAAAUGACGUACGGACUUGAACCAACAAACUACUAUGAAUUCAAAAAUGAGAAAAGCACACAAAAAUUGAAGACACGAAAUAAACGAACUCUAGAUUAAUUAUCAACCUAGUAGGUACUUACUAGUUUACUAAUUAGUGAUAGAAUUUAACACACAAGAAACUAGAAUAAAAAAUUAGAAACUAGAAAAUCUACUUAGAAUCUCAAUUUGGCCGAUUACACUUGAUGAUGUGGAAAUCUUUGAUUGGACGUGGUUUUCAACAUUUCAAUUCCAAAUUUUCUUCAUAUUUCGGCCUACACCUUAGGAAAGAAGAGAAAAAUGCUUUGGGAGGGAAAAAACAAGUUUGGAGCUCUUUUAAAGCUCCAAUUUGAAUUCAAAAGAUUGGUCCCCCCAUUUGUACUUGGAUUGUACUUGAUUUGUACUUGGCUGUAUCCUUUGCUUUCUUCCUUCUUUUUUAUAACAAUGAAUAUGUCAAGGAAUAUUCUUCCAAAAACACCAAGUACACUCUCUUUCCUCUCCUUUUUUGGAUCGAACACCUUUCUUGAACAUUCUUCUUCAACAAGAUUAGAUGAACAUCGAAGAACAUGAUGAAUAUUCAAGGGUUGACCAACGUUUGACCUUCACUCAAAUGAACCCUAACCUUCAAUUUUUUUAUAGUUCUAGGUUUCUUAGAACAAGAUGAACUCAAAUAUCACAAAAUCAGCAACAACCAAUGUCCAAAACUACAACACCACACGGAUCUAUCUCCUCCAGAGCUUCCAGACGCCGUAUCCAUGGUGGAUCUUGUUCAAAUCGCCCAAAUCUUGUUCCAAGAGUAGAUCUAGACUCCUUAGGUGUUAGGGAGCAAGGAUAUAGCACUUAAAACCAACAAAACACAAUAAAAGUUAGUAGAUCUAACUUUUAACACACGGAUCUACUACAAACAAUAAGACAACACACAAUUAUUUUGAGAUUUUCAGUUUUUUUGACUCUUUUUGUGAGAUUUUAUUAAUAAAGGCACUAAAAUCAAGAUUUAGGGAUGUAGGAACAACCCUAACCAAGGCAUUGAUACCAAAUGAUACAAUAAUCAACUACUAAAAACGAAAUUAACCUUAAGAACCUAAAAAUCAGCAACUGCAAGAAAGGGAGAUGAAGUAGAAGACACGAAUUUAACACAAAACAAGAUAGAAUUGCAUAAAAAUAAAAGGAUAGAUAGUGAAACAUAUACCACCUUGAAUGAUUAGCACCUAAUUGUGUAUCAAACAACUAGACACACUUCACUAUGGAUGGAUAGCACUUCAUUCUUAGGUGAACAGAAGGAAUUCACACUCCCCCAAUCACACCUUUCUUGCCAAAUGUUCAAUACAAGUGAAAAACCUUCCAAAUGUAUUCAACACUCCAUUUUCGGAUUCUAAGCCAAACUAGAAGACUAAAAAUUACAACUAAAGAGUAUUCUUUCAAUAUUCAUCAAAGCUAAUGAGAAUGGAAGCUAAAAUUUCUAUUUAUACUAUUACAUAACAAUUGACAAAAAUUCCCUUAAUGAGGACUAGGCAAAAGGGCGCCUCUUGAGUGUUGAAAUGUAGGAUAUAAGGUUAAAUUUUCCAUUCACUUGAGGCGCCUCUUGAGUGUAUAAGUCCUCCUCCUUUUUUCUCUUGACCAAGGCUUCAAAAUGCACCAAAAAGGUCUUCAAUUGUUUGCCAAUUACGAAGCUUGAACCUUGGACAAUAGCUUGUACUCUUGGUGAUCCUUGUGCUUGAAUCCUUUCUCCACAUAGAAUUCUUAAAAUUUUGGAGUAUAUUGCAAAUAAGAAAAGAUUUCCAAAUCAAAUUAAAAACUAGGAGUAUAUAACAAAUAAGAAAAGAUUUUCAAAUCAAACAUGAGUUAUGAACAAAUACAUAACAAAUUACAAAUCAUACAAUUAAAUCAAGGACAUAAUCAAAACACACAUAAAAGACAAUAAGUUUAAACUAAAGGAAAGGAUUUGAUAAAAAAACACUUAAGUUGGUAUCAUAUGUAAUAAGAGUAUUAAUACAAAUCAAUACUUUGAGGAAAUAAAUUUGUUGACAAAUACAUAUAUAUAAACAUAUAUAUAUACAUAUAUAAACAUAUAUA
rnacentral:lncRNA from 1 species